UCUAGGCAUUGAGGAUACUCCAGUGAACCACAUACAGGCCCUACCCUUGUGGCAGUUACAUUCUGGAAGGGAGAGGUGGGCAAAAUUUAUAGUAAGUCAGACAGCGAGAAGUGCUAAGGAGAAAAAUAAAGCUGGGAGGGGAAGUGGUUCCCAUUUUAUAAGGAUGAGCAAAGAAAGCAUCACUGAUGAUGUGCUAUUUGAGCAAAGGCCUGAAAGAAGAGAAAGGGCAAGCCACACAUCUGGGGAAGCACAUGCCAGGUGAAGAGCCCUGCAGAAGUCCAUGAUCAGGAACAAGGAGGCCAGUGUGGCUGAAACAGAGUGGGAGAUAAAGCCACCAACAUGGGCUCUUGAGAAGAUAGGAAAUCCAAAGAAAGAACCCCGGAACACUCCAAUGUUUGGGGGUCAGGAAAAUGAAGAGGAGCCAGCAAAGGACACCACGAAGGGGGCAGCCAGUGAGAUGAGACAAAGGAGGCUCAGAGGAUUAAGUGACCUGCCCGCAGCAACACGGAGAAGAUGUGGUGGAACCAGGGAUCAAAAAUUUGUCCUCUGUGUAUAUAGCGCCUCAACUUUCCAUCACACUUGCCUUCCUGGUGACCUGAUAUCCCAGGAUUUUCACUUACUGCUCUGGGGACACAUUGGUUAAAUCCAAGUGGUUUGCAGGCACUGACUGGCAACAUAACUGUGGUCAAUAGAAGAAUGAUGUACUGAGUGGUGGUCACUUAGAACCAUGCAUCUGCCACCCCUCGAGGCUGGGCCAUGAAGAAGGCAUGGCUCGGCUGGCACGGUGGCUCACACCUGUAAUUCCAGCAAUUUGGGAGGCCGAGGUAGGCUGAUUGCUUGAGCUUAGGAGUUUAAGACCAGCCUGGGCAUCAUGGCAAAACCCCAUCUCUAUAAAAAAUACAAACAUUAGCCAGGUGGUAUGCACCUGUGAUCCCAGCAACAGCAGGAGGCUGAGGUGGGAGGAUCGCUUGAACCGGGUGUCAGACCUCAGAGCCUAAGCUAAGCCAUCAUAUCCCCAGUGACCUGCUUGUGUACAUCCAGAUGGCCUGAAGCAACUGAAGAUCCACAGAAGUGAAAAUAGCAUUAACUGAUGACAUUCCACCAUUGUGAUUUGUUUCUGCCCCACCCUAACUGAUCAAUGUUCUUGAUAAUUUCCCCCACCCUUAAGAAGUUUCUUUAUAAUUCGCCCCACCCUUGAAUGUACUUUGUGAGAUCCACCCUCUGCCCCAAAAACAUUGCUCUUAACUCCACCUCCUAUCCCAAAACCUAUAAGAACCAAUGGUAAUCCCACAACCCUUUGCUGCCUCCUUUUUUGGACUCAGCCUGCCUGCACCCAGGUGAAAUAAACAGCUAUGCUGC
rnacentral:lncRNA from 1 species